CAGCUGGACCCACAGCUGCUAGACCCACAGCAGUUUUGUGCACAGCCGCUGGACCCACAGCAGCUGGGCUGGCAGCAGGUGGUCCUGCAGCAGCUGGUUAGACAGCAACUGGGGCAGCAGCAAGGCUGGCAGCAGCUGGACCCACAGCCACU